UACAGAGGGUGCGAGCGUUAAUCGGAAUUACUGGGCGUAAAGCGUGCGUAGACGGUUAUUUAAGUCGGGUGUGAAAGCCCCGGGCUCAACCUGGGAAUUGCAUUCGAGACUGAAUAGCUAGGGUACGGUAGAGGGAAGUGGAAUUUCCGGUGUAGCGGUGAAAUGCGUAGAUAUCGGAAGGAACAUCAGUGGCGAAGGCGACUACCUGGCCUGUUCUUGACGCUGAGGCGCGAAAGCUAGGGGAGCAAACGGGG
rnacentral:rRNA from 1 species